AGAUUGAACGCUGGCGGCAGGCCUAACACAUGCAAGUCGAGCGGUAGAGAGGUGCUUGCAUCUCUUGAGAGCGGCGGACGGGUGAGUAAUGCCUAGGAAUCUGCCUAGUGGUGGGGGAUAACGUUCGGAAACGGACGCUAAUACCGCAUACGUCCUACGGGAGAAAGCGGGGGACCUUCGGGCCUCGCGCCAUUAGAUGAGCCUAGGUCGGAUUAGCUAGUUGGUGAGGUAAUGGCUCACCAAGGCGACGAUCCGUAACUGGUCUGAGAGGAUGAUCAGUCACACGUGGAACUGAGACACGGUCCAGACCUCCGUACGGGAGCAGCAGGUGGGAAUAGUUGGACAAGUGGGAC
rnacentral:rRNA from 1 species